AGGGUUUGAUCAUGGCUCAGGACGAACGCUGGCGGCGUGCUUAACACAUGCAAGUCGAACGAUGAAGUUCCUUCGGGAAUGGAUUAGUGGCGAACGGGUGAGGAUCACGUGAGAAACCUGCCUUUCAUUUUGGGAUAACUCCGGGAAACCGGGGCUAAUACCGGAUACUCCGUCUCUGCGGCAUCGCGGAGCCGGGAAAAAAUUUUGAUGAAAGAUGGUCUCGCGGCCUAUCAGCUAGUUGGUGAGGUAACGGCUCACCAAGGCGACGACGGGUAGCCGGCCUGAGAGGGCGACCGGCCACACUGGGACUGAGACACGGCCCAGACUCCUACGGGAGGCAGCAGUGGGGAAUAUUGGGCAAUGGGCGCAAGCCUGACCCAGCGACGCCGCGUGAGGGAUGAAGGCCUUCGGGUUGUAAACCUCUUUCAGUAGGGAAGAAGCGAAAGUGACGGUACCUAAAGAAGAAGCACCGGCUAACUAUGUGCCAGCAGCCGCGGUAAUACAUAGGGUGCAAGCGUUGUCCGGAAUUAUUGGGCGUAAAGAGCUCGUAGGUCGUUUGACACGUCGAUUGUGAAAAUCUGAGGCUCAACCUCAGACCUGCAGUCGAUACGGUCAAACUAGAGUGUGGUAGGGGAGACUGGAAUUCCUGGUGUAGCGGUGGAAUGCGCAGAUAUCAGGAGGAACACCAAUGGCGAAGGCAGGUCUCUGGGCCAUAACUGACACUGAGGAGCGAAAGCGCGGGGAGCGAACAGGAUUAGAUACCCUGGUAGUCCGCGCCGUAAACGGUGGGCACUAGCUGUGGGUCCCUUCCACGGGAUCCGCGACGCAGCAAACGCAUUAAGUGCCCCGCCUGGGGAGUACGAUCGCAAGAUUAAAACUCAAAGGAAUUGACGGGGCCCCGCACAAGCAGCGGAGCAUGCGGCUUAAUUCGACGCAACGCGAAGAACCUUACCAAGGCUUGACAUAUAGCGAAAAGUGGCAGAGAUGUCAUGUCCGCAAGGGCGCUAUACAGGUGGUGCAUGGCUGUCGUCAGCUCGUGUCGUGAGAUGUUGGGUUAAGUCCCGCAACGAGCGCAACCCUUGCCAUUAAUUGCCAUCAUUUAGUUGGGCACUUUAAUGGGACUGCCGGUGACAAACCGGAGGAAGGUGGGGAUGACGUCAAGUCCUCAUGGCCCUUAUGGCCAGGGCUUCACACGUAAUACAAUGGUCGGUACAGAGGGUUGCCAACCCGCGAGGGGGAGCCAAUCCCAGAAAGCCGAUCGUAGUCCGGAUUGUAGUCUGCAACUCGACUGCAUGAAGUCGGAAUCGCUAGUAAUCGCGGAUCAGCAUGUCGCGGUGAAUACGUUCCCGGGCCUUGUACACACCGCCCGUCACACCAUGGGAGUGGGUUUUACCAGAAGUAGUUAGUCUAACCGUAAGGGAGACGAUUACCACGGUAGGAUUCAUGACUGGGGUGAAGUCGUAACAAGGUAACCGUA
rnacentral:rRNA from 1 species